rnacentral:rRNA from 1 species
UACGUAGGGGGCUAGCGUUGUCCGGAAUCAUUGGGCGUAAAGCGCGCGUAGGCGGCCCGGUAAGUCCGCUGUGAAAGUCCAGGGCUCAACCCUGGAAAGCCGGUGGAUACUGCCGGGCUAGAGUCCGGGAGAGGCGAGUGGAAUUCCUGGUGUAGCGGUGGAAUGCGCAGAUAUCAGGAGGAACACCGUAGGCGAAGGCAGGCUC